UACAGAGGUCCCAAGCGUUGUUCGGAUUCAUUGGGCGUAAAGGGUGCGUAGGCGGCGCCGUAAGUCGGGUGUGAAAUUUCGGAGCUUAACUCCGAAACUGCAUUCGAUACUGCGGUGCUUGAGGACUGGAGAGGAGACUGGAAUUCAUGGUGUAGCAGUGAAAUGCGUAGAGAUCAUGAGGAAGACCAGUGGCGAAGGCGGGUCUCUGGACAGUUCCUGACACUGAGACACGAAGGCCAGGGGAGCAAACGGG
rnacentral:rRNA from 1 species